rnacentral:rRNA from 1 species
UAGUAAUCGCGGAUCAGCAUGCCGCGGUGAAUACGUUCCCGGGCCUUGUACACACCGCCCGUCACACCAUGGGAGUCAGGAAUGCCCGAAGCCAGUGGCCUAACCGCAAGGGAGGAGCUGUCGAAGGCAGGCCCGGUAACUGGGUGAAGUCGUAACAAGGUAGC